UACGUAGGGGGCAAGCGUUGUCCGGAAUCAUUGGGCGUAAAGAGCGUGUAGGCGGCUCGAUAAGUCUGCUGUGAAAGUCCAGGGCUCAACCCUGGAAGGCCGGUGGAAACUGUCGGGCUAGAGUCCGGAAGAGGCGAGUGGAAUUCCCGGUGUAGCGGUGAAAUGCGCAGAUAUCGGGAGGAACACCAAUGGCGAAGGCAGCUCGCUGGGACGGUACUGACGCUGAGACGGCGAAAGCGUGGGGAGCA
rnacentral:rRNA from 1 species